UUUCGAUAAAAUAUUACCCAAACGCCAAUUCAAGUGAAAAGGAAACCCUAGAUUUUGAUUUAUAGUAGCAAAAUUGACAAAGAGCCACACGAGGGAGGGUCAAGGGCUGCACAAGUUACAUCGACUCCGACAUCGGAGUUUGCAGCCCUCUCCGCCUCCAAAAAUAUCUCACUCUUCUUUAUCCCACCAAUUAUUUCACAUCAUCAUCUAACCCCCACCCCCAGAUUACCAUAAAAAUCAAACCUUUAUGGAUUCUUGGGAAAAACUGUGACCCCAUUUUAUUGUUUUUCCAUUUCAGUAUUUUCUUGGCUUUUUAGGUUUUAUUUAGGGUAUUAUUGAGACCCCCAAGUAGGAAAAAAGGAGAAGGAGAAAGGGAGAUGGCUCAAAAUGGGCAGGGGAUAGAACCUGCGGUUCUUGAUGACAUAAUUAACAGGCUAUUGGAGUUUAGGAAUGCAAGAACUGUUAGACAGGUUCAGCUUUCAGAGGCUGAGAUUCGUUCUCUCUGUACUGCUGCAAGAGCAAUCUUUCUUCAGCAGCCCAAUCUUUUGGAGCUUGAAGCCCCUAUCAAGAUCUGUGGUGAUAUUCAUGGACAGUAUGGUGAUCUUCUGAGGCUUUUUGAAUAUGGUGGAUUCCCACCCCAGUCCAAUUAUUUGUUUUUAGGGGACUAUGUGGAUCGUGGCAAACAGAGUUUGGAGACUAUAUGCCUUCUACUUGCUUACAAAAUUAAGUACCCAGAGAACUUCUUUCUGUUAAGAGGGAAUCAUGAGUGUGCUUCUAUUAACCGGAUAUAUGGAUUUUAUGAUGAAUGUAAGCGCCGAUUCAAUGUGAGGCUGUGGAAAGUCUUCACUGAUUGUUUCAACUGUCUUCCCGUGGCAGCUCUUAUAGAUGAUAAAAUACUUUGCAUGCAUGGUGGUCUUUCUCCUGAUCUAACAGACAUGGAUCUGAUACGAAAUUUACCUCGUCCUACAGAUGUUCCAGAUUCCGGUUUGCUUUGUGAUUUACUUUGGUCAGAUCCUAGUAGGGAAGUUAAAGGUUGGGGAAUGAAUGACAGGGGCGUCUCAUAUACCUUUGGUCCUGAUAAAGUGGCAGAGUUCUUGAUGCAACAUGAUAUGGACCUUGUUUGUCGUGCCCAUCAGGUUGUGGAGGACGGCUAUGAAUUUUUUGCUGAAAGGCAGCUAGUUACAGUAUUUUCUGCACCAAACUACUGUGGGGAAUUUGAUAAUGCUGGUGCAAUGAUGAGUGUGGAUGAAAAUCUGAUGUGCUCUUUCCAGAUUUUGAAGCCAGCAGAUAGGAAACCUCGGUUCUUGUGAAGCAAAAGGUCAUAGCUUAUGUAUGUGCUCUCCCGGUGGAACCUAAGGUCUAUAUUGAGGUGUACUUUUGUAUUGUUGAUCACUUCAUCCUUGAGCAUGACUAUUUCUCAGAAAUUCCUUAUGUGCUGGGAAAAGAGCAGUUGAAGAUGCUGGCUUCUGUAAUGUUUGUCAUACAAGCAUGCUUUCCAAUGGGAAAGCAGUUGGUGGUUCAGUACAAGGACCAUGAAGAUUGACAUUAACUGUACUAGUUUGAAUACUUUUCCUCUGUUUUUCCUUGGUGGGUCGUUUAUCCUUUUUUAUAUUUGCUCGUGCAAUCUAUGAUUUGACGUGUACAUACAUUCUCUUUGUAAUCUCAGUUUCAAUUUUUCUAGUUUACUCCUAAUUACUAUAUUGUAAUCCGAAUGGUUUGCUAGUUUCUACUUUCACUGUCUUCAUGAAA